rnacentral:misc_RNA from 1 species
UUGACUUUUUUGGUGGGCUCAGACAACAGGUUACAAGAGUUUGGGGGCCCUCUGGCAGGCUGCAGGUCACCCUGCAGGCGCCGCCGAGGCAACAAGGUAUGGUACGCACAGGGUGGGAGAUGCGCCCAGGGGCGCGGUCUCGGUAAUGAUCCUUCCGCAGGUUCACCUACGGAAA